CGAACGCUGGCGGCGUGCUUAACACAUGCAAAUCGAGCGGUAAGGCCUUUCGGGGUACACGAGCGGCGAACGGGUGAGUAACACGUGGGUGAUCUGCCCUGCACUUCGGGAUAAGCCUGGGAAACUGGGUCUAAUACCGGAUAUGACCUCCUAUCGCAUGGUGGGUGGUGGAAAGAUUUAUCGGUGCAGGAUGGGCCCGCGGCCUAUCAGCUUGUUGGUGGGGUAAUGGCCUACCAAGGCGACGACGGGUAGCCGACCUGAGAGGGUGACCGGCCACACUGGGACUGAGACACGGCCCAGACUCCUACGGGAGGCAGCAGUGGGGAAUAUUGCACAAUGGGCGAAAGCCUGAUGCAGCGACGCCGCGUGAGGGAUGACGGCCUUCGGGUUGUAAACCUCUUUCAGCAGGGACGAAGCGCAAGUGACGGUACCUGCAGAAGAAGCACCGGCUAACUACGUG
rnacentral:rRNA from 1 species